rnacentral:rRNA from 1 species
GAUGAACGCUGGCGGCGUGCCUAAUACAUGCAAGUCGAGCGAACGGACGAGAAGCUUGCUUCUCUGAUGUUAGCGGCGGACGGGUGAGUAACACGUGGAUAACCUACCUAUAAGACUGGGAUAACUUCGGGAAAUCGGAGCUAAUACCGGAUAAUAUUUUGAACCGCAUGGUUCAAAAGUGAAAGACGGUCUUGCUGUCACUUAUAGAUGGAUCCGCGCUGCAUUAGCUAGUUGGUAAGGUAACGGCUUACCAAGGCAACGAUGCAUAGCCGACCUGAGAGGGUGAUCGGCCACACUGGAACUGAGACACGGUCCAGACUCCUACGGGAGGCAGCAGUAGGGAAUCUUCCGCAAUGGGCGAAAGCCUGACGGAGCAACGCCGCGUGAGUGAUGAAGGUCUUCGGAUCGUAAAACUCUGUUAUUAGGGAAGAACAUAUGUGUAAGUAACUGUGCACAUCUUGACGGUACCUAAUCAGAAAGCCACGGCUAACUACGUG